GAUGAACGCUGGCGGCGUGCCUAAUACAUGCAAGUCGAACGCGAGAGGAGGGAGCUUGCUCCCUCUGAUCGAGUGGCGGACGGGUGAGUAACACGUAGGCAACCUGCCCAUCAGUCCGGGAUAACCGCGGGAAACCGUGGCUAAUACCGGAUGAUCCUCUCCACCGCGGGGCGGGGAGUUGAAAGACGGUUUCGGCUGUCGCUGCUGGAUGGGCCUGCGGCGCAUUAGCGGGUUGGCGGGGUAACGGCCCACCAAGGCAACGAUGCGUAGCCGACCUGAGAGGGUGAUCGGCCACACUGGGACUGAGACACGGCCCAGACUCCUACGGGAGGCAGCAGUAGGGAAUCUUCCGCAAUGGACGCAAGUCUGACGGAGCAACGCCGCGUGAGUGAAGAAGGGUUUCGGCUCGUAAAACUCUGUUGUUAAGGAAGAACGACAGGUAGAGUAACUGCUACCUGUGUGACGGUACUUAACCAGAAAGCCACGGCUAACUACGUGCCAGCCGCCGCCGUAA
rnacentral:rRNA from 1 species